GGGACUAUAGCUCAGUUGGUUAGAGUGCACCCCUGAUAAGGGUGAGGUCUCAGGUUCAAAUCCUGAUAGUCCCACCA
rnacentral:tRNA from 1 species